CCUACGGUGGGCAGCAGUGGGGAAUAUUGCACAAUGGGGGAAACCCUGAUGCAGCGACGCCGCGUGAGUGAUGAAGUAUUUCGGUAUGUAAAGCUCUAUCAGCAGGGAAGAAGAUGACGGUUCCUGACCAAGAAGCCCCCGCUAACUAACUGCCAGCAGCCGCGGUAAUACGUAGGGGGCAAGCGUUUUCCGGAUUUACUGGGUGUAAAGGGAGCGUAGACGGCUGUGCAAGCCAGAAGUGAAAGCCCCGGGCUCAACCCCGGGACUGCAUUUGGAACUGUGUGGCUGGAGUGUCGGAGAGGCAAGUGGAAUUCCUAGUGUAGCGGUGAAAUGCGUAGAUAUUAGGAGGAACACCAGUGGCGAAGGCGGCCUGCUGGACGGUAACUGACGUUGAGGCUCGAAAGCGUGGGGAGCAAACAGGAUUAGAUACCCCAGUAGUC
rnacentral:rRNA from 1 species